CGAAGGUCAAGGAUCGUCCCCAGAGUUCAUCAGCGACGAAAAUGACGCCGAAGACGACGAGAAUGAGAAAAAAGACAACGCCGACGACAGUGAUUUCUGGCCGGGAAACUCAGCAUCAACUGUUACAAGCCACAUUAUGCAGAACAACCUCGUUAGAGACGAAAAUCUGGAACAUUACUAAAGAAACAUUAAAAGAAG